rnacentral:rRNA from 1 species
UACGUAGGGUGCAAGCGUUGUCCGGAAUUAUUGGGCGUAAAGAGCUCGUAGGCGGUCUGUCGCGUCUGCUGUGAAAACUCAGGGCUUAACCCUGAGCUUGCAGUGGGUACGGGCAGACUAGAGUGCGGUAGGGGGAGACUGGAAUUCCUGGUGUAGCGGUGGAAUGCGCAGAUAUCAGGAGGAACACCGAUGGCGAAGGCAGGUCUCUGGGCCAUUACUGACGCUGAGGAGCGAAAGCCGUGGGGAGCGAACAGG